UCGGCGGGGGGCAUGGGAAUCCUCCCGGGGGAGGAGGGUCGGACCCCAAAGCCCGGGCCGCAGUGGUCCCCAGACCCCCGGCACCCGCUGGGGCCCUCCGAGAGAGCACCGGCCGAGGCACUGGCAUGAAAUACAGGUAUGGGGGUGGCGGGCAGCCUGCCACAUCUGCUCCCCUUUCCUGAUCCCUGAGGCUUCCUGGGAUGCUGCCAGGACCCCCUCAGACUUCUCUAAGAAGGUCCCGGCUCAUUCCAUCUUCUCUUCCCACCACUAGCACUCCCUUACGUGGUCCCUCUCUUGCUCGCUCUCCGUCCACACCCCUGACUAGUAGAAAAUCAAGUUUACCAAGGUUGACCAGGCCUGUCAGACCCAGGGGAUGCCCCUACACUUCCCUCCAUCCCCCCAGGAAAGCCAGGAAUGCACGGAUCUCCAGGCUGUGCAACUGCCCCCUCCCCCCACCCCUCCAUCCCCCAUGGUGUGUCCUUGGGUAAUGUCCUGGGAAGAGAGGGGAAGGAAACGGCUUCUCACUCUGGCCUGCUCAGGGUGCCUGACCCAGAUACUGUCCUCACAUGCCCCAAGGUCUCUUGCAACCUUUCUUGGUGGGGAGGGAAGUAGGGCCCUCAGAAGGAUGGACCACAUCUCUCAACCCUGUGCUGAGGGGCAGGGGCCUGGCGGGGAGGUGGACUGAAAUGUAACCGACUUUUUCUCAGAGAACUGCUGGGCUCUCAGGACUACCAGUAGGGGGGAGGGGAGGGGCUCCUGCUUGGGAGUGAGCAGAGGUCACUGAUAUGACCUGGCUUUGUCACUCCAUGUGGCAGCCCUGAUUGGGAAGCUGAGCAUGGGGGGUGCCUUGGGAGGAGGGGGCUUUCUGGUUUGAAGACAGACUUAACAAGCCAACAGGAGCAGAGGGAGUAGAGAGGGGAAAAGGGAGUAGAGAGGGGAAAAGGGAGAACUGGUCUUUCCUCUCAUACUCCCCACCCAGGUGUCCUACCUGCCUUUGUUGGAGGCCCAUCUGCCUAGCCCGUCCAAGGACCCUUGCCUGCCUGAGUGCCUGAACUUGACUUGGUUUACCCCUUCCACUCCAGUGUCUGCCCUUUAGCACAGCACUCUCUGAGGAUCUGUUUUCACAAACUCAUCACAAUUAACCAGUCACGUUCCUCCCAGUCACCCCCCACCCGACUCCACAUAUCCCACAGAUGACUCAAACACACACAAGACCCACCAGCAGAAAUGGUAGGCAGGCAGCACAUCUUCAAUGCGAUAGGAGGGGACAGAGGCACUGGACAGUGGCUGCAGAGGAACAGUCAUUGUUCACUUAUGCUAUGGCCAUCACAUUGCCCAAUUCAGUGGGCCCACUGAGUCUAGUUUCUUCGGACUGAGACACCCUGAAGGCAUCUCAGUCUGGAAAGAGAGGAGCUAGAGGCUGAUAAUCUAUGUCCCUAAUGGAGGCUGCACCCCUUCCUGCUGCUUCUAUGUCUUGCAGGAACCUAGGAAAGUCUGGUCUUCGUGUAUCCUGCCUUGGCCUAGGUACCUGGGUCACAUUUGGUUCUCAGAUCUCCGAUGAGGUAUAAGUGAUGGGACCUAGAAGCAGGACAGCAGAGGAUGUGCUGACAGUAGCCUAUGAGCAUGGUGUAAACCUGUUUGACACGGCCGAAGUGUAUGCAGCAGGAAAGGCUGAAAGAACCCUAGGCAACAUCCUCAAGAGCAAAGGUUGGAGGAGAUCAAGCUAUGUCAUCACCACCAAGAUUUUCUGGGGAGGACAGGCAGAAACUGAGCGAGGCUUGAGCCGCAAGCACAUCAUUGAGGGCUUGCGAGGAUCCCUGGAACGCCUCCAGCUGGGAUACGUGGACAUCGUCUUCGCCAAUCGCUCAGACCCCAACAGUCCCAUGGAGGAGAUUGUGCGAGCCAUGACCUACGUCAUCAACCAGGGCCUGGCCCUGUACUGGGGGACGUCCCGAUGGGGGGCCACAGAAAUCAUGGUGAGUGUGCCACCCACUUGCCCCUGUCCCACGACUUGUUCCCACUUUUCAUACGGCCACUCCAAACCCCGCUCUACUGCAGGAGGGGGAUGGAAGAAAAUGGAGUGGUCUGACUCCCAUCUCUUCCCCACCCCAACCCAGGAGGCCUACUCCAUGGCCAGACAGUUCAAUCUGAUUCCUCCAGUGUGUGAACAAGCUGAGCACCACCUGUUUCAGAGAGAGAAGGUGGAGAUGCAGCUGCCAGAGCUCUACCACAAGAUUGGUUCGAAGUCCCCUCAUCCCUACCUUUCCCUUGGCCUCACCAUCACCGAGAUCCCUUUCCCACAUCCAAUCCUCUUCCUCUUAGGUGUUGGCUCAGUCACCUGGUCCCCUCUGGCCUGUGGCCUCAUCACUAGCAAGUAUGAUGGGCGAGUCCCAGAUACCUGCAGGGUCACCAUCAAGGGCUACCAAUGGCACAAAGACAAAGUGCAGAGCGAGGAUGGCAAGAGGCAACAAGCCAAAGUCAUGGACCUCCUCCCCAUCGCUCACCAGCUGGGCUGCACUGUGGCGCAGCUGGCUAUUGGUGAGGCCCUGCCAGCCCUGGACCCCGCAGGGGCCUUGUCUCCUCCUGAGACACUGCCAAACCGCAGACUGGUUUGUCCUGGGGAGGACCCCUCUGAAGGCUGUGUGCUCACUGUUUCCCACCAGUUCUCUCUCUUUUUAUUUCUCCUUCUCUGGCCCAGCGUGGUGUCUCCGCAGUGAGGGUGUCAGCUCGGUCUUGCUGGGGGUGUCCAGUGCAGAGCAGUUGAUGGAACACCUGGGCGCCCUGCAGGUGCUGAGUCAGCUGACCCCGCAGACGGUGAUGGAGAUAGACGGGCUCCUGGGCAACAAACCGCAUCCCAAGAAAUAAUACGUCGGGGGCGCAGGGACCCAAAUGGGUGCAUCCCCAGAACCGCUUCUCCGCCUCCGCCGCCGCCUCCCUCCCGCUCCGGAUCCCUCCACGCGGCGGCCAGAGCCAGGGCGGCCCCGCCCACUAACGAGUUCCAGCUUGGAGUAGCGAUAGCAUGAACAAAGCCAUAUCCUCCCGCAGUGGGGCUUGAGAGGGAAAGUAGUCCGCCGCCCCCUGCUGCGUUCUCCUAGGCCUUCCUGCUAAUCCUGGGCAUGAGCUGCUGGACCGUCCCCUCUCUUCCCUUAAUCGUUGAGGCCCAGGGGGGACAAAAGGCAGAUACACGAUCCAUGCAGAGUACCUCAAAAGUGGCCCUUGAAAUGUCAUCAAGGGGUAACAACCUAAUAAGAAGUGAGUUGUGAUGUCAUAUGGGACGAAGGACAUGGAGCUCUUACAUUCGUUACAAAGGAAGCCAGGCUGGUCCUGGCAGGAAGUAAAUGAUAAUCUUUGGGAAACCAAGACCCUGCCUCAGCCAGGAUGUGGAGGAGGGCUGAAAACUAGAACUGG